rnacentral:lncRNA from 1 species
GGGACCACACUUCACAAAAGGGAGCAAGAAGGCAGAUAACGGCAAAGAAAAAUGUUUGUAGUUUACUGUGGAGGACCAAGUGAGUUUAUACAGAUGUUUACCUGCUUUGGGAUUAUUUGCUGCUGGCUAGAAUGAAAAGACAAACAUUCCCUUCAAACAGUAUGCCAUUGCCUAAUAAUUUUGCAAACUCAAAUGAAAUCCAACCAAAUUCAGAAUUUAGAUUUUCCUACUGGCUUGUGUAAUUUUUGUUUGUAUGGGAUAGAAUCAGGUUCCAUCUUUUAUUCUCCUUCACAAUAUCAUUAACAAAGAAAACUUUGAAUGUUAGCUGGUGGGAUAGAUACAUUGACACUGUUUACAUAGCACUGUUUCCUACUCGGGCCUGCACACAAACAUUCGCACACAUUUUCAUGUACACACACUCCUGCGGAGGUCAAUGAAUAUUACAAUUCUUCUUCUGGAAAUAAUCCUUAAGAAUGAAUGAGCAAAAGACACAGUUUUCAACCCUAUUUUCUCUUCUCUUUCUCUCUUUUUCUUCCCUCUGUUCUUUCUCUCUCUCUCUUUUUUCCUUCUUUUUAUUUUUUUCUUCCUGGAGAGGUUUCUGAAGUUCAACAGUGAUUCUUUAAUUAAGAGAAAAAAAAAACCACACAUACACACACUAGAGAACAAGAAGGAAUAGUAAACAGUUCCCUCCACUGCUAGAGGGGUUAGUUACAAAAUAAACAUUUCACAGACUGGACCACAUCUCCUGUAAUGAGACAGCUCUGGCUAGUGAGACUGCAGCUAAAG